rnacentral:rRNA from 1 species
UUCCAGACUCCUACGGGAGGCAGCAGUGAGGAAUAUUGGUCAAUGGGCGCGAGCCUGAACCAGCCAAGUCGCGUGAGGGAAGACGGUCCUAUGGAUUGUAAACCUCUUUUGCCGGGGAGCAAAAAGCGGUACGUGUACCGCAUCGAGAGUACCCGGAGAAAAAGCAUCGGCUAACUCCGUGCCAGCAGCCGCGGUAAUACGGAGGAUGCGAGCGUUAUCCGGAUUUAUUGGGUUUAAAGGGUGCGUAGGCGGAAUGCCAAGUCAGGGGUAAAAUCGCGGGGCUCAACCUCGCUCCGCCGUUGAAACUGGCGUUCUUGAGUGGGCGAGAAGUAUGCGGAAUGCGUGGUGUAGCGGUGAAAUGCAUAGAUAUCACGCAGAACUCCGAUUGCGAAGGCAGCAUACCGGCGCCCAACUGACGCUGAAGCACGAAAGCGUGGGUAUCGAACAGGAUUAGAUACCCUGGUA